GACGAACGCUGGCGGCGCGCUUAACACAUGCAAGUCGAGCGAAGCGGCGGACGGGUUAGUAACACGUGAGUAACCUGCCUUAGACAUUGGGAUAGCCUCGGGAAACCGGGCUUAAUACCAAAUGGUCUAAGAUGGACUGGCGUCCCAUUCGUUAGGUGGUGAGGUAACGGCCCACCAAGGCGACGAUGGGUAGCCGGACGGAUAGUGUGAACGGCCACAUUGAGACUGAGAAACGGUCCAAACUCUACGGGAGGCAGCAGUGGGGAAUAUUGCACAAUGGAGGGAACUCUGUGGCAGCGACGCCGAGGGAACGAAGAAGGCUUUCGAGUCGUAAAGUUCUUUUAUAUGGGAAGCGGUACCAUAAGAAUAAGCCCCGGCUAACUACGUGCCAGCAGCCGCGGUAAUAC
rnacentral:rRNA from 1 species